UAAACGAUGUCGACUUGGAGGUUGUGCCCUGAGGCGUGGCUCCGGAGCUAACGCGUUAAGUCGACCGCUGGGGAGUACGGCCGCAAGGUUAAAACUCAAAUGAAUUGACGGGGGCCCGCACAGCGGUGGAGCAUGUGGUUUAAUUCGAUGCAACGCGAAGAACCUUACCUACUCUUGACAUCCAGAGAACUUUCCAGAGAUGGAUUGGUGCCUUCGGGAACUCUGAGACAGGUGCUGCAUGGCUGUCGUCAGCUCGUGUUGUGAAAUGUUGGGUUAAGUCCCGCAACGAGCGCAACCCUUAUCCUUUGUUGCCAGCGGUUAGGCCGGGAACUCAAAGGAGACUGCCAGUGAUAAACUGGAGGAAGGUGGGGAUGACGUCAAGUCAUCAUGGCCCUUACGAGUAGGGCUACACACGUGCUACAAUGGCGCAUACAAAGAGAAGCGACCUCGCGAGAGCAAGCGGACCUCAUAAAGUGCGUCGUAGUCCGGAUUGGAGUCUGCAACUCGACUCCAUGAAGUCGGAAUCGCUAGUAAUCGUAGAUCAGAAUGCUACGGUGAAUACGUUCCCGGGCCUUGUACACACCGCCCGUCACACCAUGGGAGUGGGUUGCAAAAGAAGUAGGUAGCUUAACCUUCGGGAGGGCGCUUACCACUUUGUGAUUCAUGACUGGGGUGAAGUCGUAACAAGGUAACCAAGGGCGAAUUCCAG
rnacentral:rRNA from 1 species